rnacentral:lncRNA from 1 species
GUUUUUAAUAAAAAAACCCUUGUUAUUGAAGAGUCUAUACAUGUUGUUUUUGAUGAUUCUAGUGAUAUCUCUUCUAGCAAGAGAAUUGAUCUUGAUGAUGAUGCUGAAAUUUUUGAAGAAAAGAUUGAUGAGAUGACAUUACAAGAAGAUGAACAAAAAUUAAUUGGAAAUGCAUCAUCAAGCCAAGAGGCAAUUGUGGAUCAUGGGCUGACUAAGGCUUGGAGGUAUGCUCAUGGGCAUCCUAAGGAAUUAAUUUUAGAUGACCCA